rnacentral:rRNA from 1 species
UAACAGGAUUAGAUACCCUGGUAGUCCAUGCCGUAAACGUUGGGCACUAGGUGUGGGGGACAUUCCACGUUUUCCGCGCCGUAGCUAACGCAUUAAGUGCCCCGCCUGGGGAGUACGGCCGCAAGGCUAAAACUCAAAGGAAUUGACGGGGGCCCGCACAAGCGGCGGAGCAUGCGGAUUAAUUCGAUGCAACGCGAAGAACCUUACCAAGGCUUGACAUGUGCUAGAUCGCCAUAGAAAUAUGGUUUCCCCUUUGGGGCUGGUUCACAGGUGGUGCAUGGUUGUCGUCAGCUCGUGUCGUGAGAUGUUGGGUUAAGUCCCGCAACGAGCGCAACCCUCGUUCUAUGUUGCCAGCACGUUAUGGUGGGGACUCAUAGGAGACUGCCGGGGUCAACUCGGAGGAAGGUGGGGACGACGUCAAAUCAUCAUGCCCCUUAUGUCUUGGGCUUCACGCAUGCUACAAUGGCCGGUACAAUGGGUUGCGAUACUGUGAGGUGGAGCUAAUCCCAAAAAGCCGGUCUCAGUUCGGAUUGGGGUCUGCAACUCGACCCCAUGAAGUCGGAGUCGCUAGUAAUCGCAGAUCAGCAACGCUGCGGUGAAUACGUUCCCGGGCCUUGUACACACCGCCCGUCAAGUCACGAGAGUUGGUAACACCCGAAGCCGGUGGCCUAACCCCCUUGUGGGGAGGGAGCUGUCGAAGGUGGGACUGGCGAUUGGGACUAAGUCGUAACAAGGUAACCA